CUCUAGUGAAAGUCCAUUUUUCCUGCUCCUUUUUGUUAAUCACAGGAUUCCAUUAUACUGACAAUAAUCUACAGUUAUUCGUAUCUGAACACUGAUCCCCAGUGAAGCCGGGAUGGAGUUAAAAUGCUUGGAAUUUGUUCUCUAUAGUGCUGCUUUUCAUGUUGAGCAAAAAUACAGCACUUAUAAUUUGUUCCCCUGUAGUAUUUGUCAUCUUUUUACCGCUCUCUUAAGAGUGUAAUUCCUGCCCAAUAUUUUCUUUUUAAACUACCUCUCAUUUAAAUACACGCUUUGUGUUUUCUUAAAAUAAACGCUGUCAUGCAGCUCUUCUACUUCCUUUAUUGAGAAAACAGUAAUACUCAUACGAUUGUGGAAAAAAAGUUGAGAGGGAGGGAGAGACAGGGAAAGGAAGCAGAAAUCAUAACCAAAAAGUUCACACUGAUUAUUGAAAUAGUCAGUGCUCCCUUGGGCUGUGGGGAAGGGAAAGGCACUUUUACAGUGUUUUGGAACAUUUUUCUUCCUCGGGAUUCUGACUUUUCACCACAUAUUUAUGCUACGUUGAGAGAGGAGAAGAAAAGAAAAAGAACUCAAAGGUUUUACAGUUUCGAAGCAAAUAAAGGGGAGAUGCUGUUGUGGCUGCAGAGGUGAGCUAUGGACAGCUGGUGGAAGAGAAUCAGGCCCCAUGGUAAAGAGGGAAAGGACGGAGCAGCUCUCUUGUCUGCCAGAAGAUGAACAUUGCAGUGGGCAUACCAUGGGGCCAGACCACCAGCAGAGCAUUAAACAAGGACAGAUGUGAAUGCCAGGAUAAAAAUGAAGACAUUCCUGAAGUGCUUACUGAAGCUGUUGAUGAUAGUAUUUCAGAACUUACAAGUUUUCCUGACCCAGCUUUGAGCAGUUUACAGUGUCAUCAUAUUUUCCAUCUGAAAAUCUAGGCAGAAGAGCAUGUUUACAAUAGUUCCGUUAGAAAUAGCUUGAGAAAGUCUUCAGUGGGAGAAACCCAAAAGUAAGUGGGAAAUGAGUUUCUGGCUUGUACUGUUUAAUAUUUUUCCUAUUCUCAUAUUUGAAGAUCUGUUUCAAACCCUCGCUGGCAAUUAAGAUGCUGAUGUCCAAUAGAUGAACCGACUAAACGCAAAAGUUUUACUCAAAUUCUGCUGAACUUUGGAAUGAUAAGGAAAAAAGAAAAAAAGAAUUGAAAGUGAAGUCCAUAUUCAUCCCAUACUUGGGAAAACAACCAAAAUAAAACCUUGCUGUAAACUUUUCUAACAUUUGGAGUGCUUGAAAUAUGUAUCUUAAUUUGAGUCUGCAGUCAAUAUCUGGGCAAAAGAGGAAAUCUGUUGCAUCAUAAAAUUCAUAAAAGUGAUAGUAUAAGCUUGAAACAACUUAUUCAGGAGAAAAUGGUUUGCAAAAGAGGCACAAGUGAAAACAUUUAGAUUUGGCUGAAGUAGAUACAAGCUUGAUCAUUAUAUGUAUACCAUGCAAGUAAAUAGCUUGUGGGUGCGUCUAAAGCCAAUGUGAACCUUUAUGUGGAAAGCAUUGACUAUGUGGGUAUGGAAAAUAGCCCACUUAAACUAUAAUUAUACUGAAUAUGUGCAAAUAAAACCCAAAUAAAGCACCCAAGUAGAAAGCAUAUUUCUUUAACAUUUCUGUGGAUAUGUUCUAUGUUAUUCUCAUGGUUUUAGGGCAGUCGGAAUUAUACUGUAUUCAUAUUAAUAACUUGGAAGUAAACAGUAUACAAAAUAUCUUCUUAAAAUAUACAUUAAAAAAUUACAGUGGAAGAAAAAACAUGUGUAACCAAAGUUAGAUUGGAUCUAAGAGACUGUUACAAUUUCUUGAUUUAGUUUGCUGAGUAGGAGGCUCUGCUGGAAUUACCGACUCUUAAAUAAGUCAGCAAGAUAUUAUUUGAAAGACACUGGUUCAUCAAGAAGUAGUUUCAUUUCACUUAUGACUUUUUGGAAUGGCAUUGCAAUCAAUCAGCUAAGUUUCUGAGCAGUGGCCACUUGGAGUAAUAUGGCUGAAGUCAAGACGUAACUGUGUUUUGAGUGGUUGCAUUCUUGCUUCUCUCUCCUCACAUUCCUCCUGUUGCCAGUGCUUCCAUGGCAGGACAAAAUGAGACCUGGUGGAGUACAUUCUGUCAUGGCUCUGCUCUUAGUGUCUCCUGUGCUGUGGGAAUUCACAUCUGUGGAUAUGGAAGCUUCUAGCUGUCAUACAUAGUAGCCUGAAGGGACAGAAUGAAUUUGUUUGUUAGCUCUAGUAGUGUCAGGGCCUUGCUAGAAUUUACAUGAGCCUCAUCUAAUGAACUUGGUGCAAAAUUGUUGUGUAAUGGAUCAGACCUCUCAGAUGGACUUUGGAGCUGUGAUUUUCCAGGUGAUGCAUGUCUCACAUUGGAUACACACAGACUUAAAGAAAUAACGUUCUUGUGUUAACUGCAGCUCAACACUGUCAGUCACCAGUUUUAUUCUCUUUCUGCAACAAAACAAUGAUGCACUUGAAUGAUAAAAAAGGUUGACAGUGUGUCUGAGCCUGCUCUCUGUUGAGUGUGAUGACAUCUCUACCAGAACUACAUUUUCCCUUUAUGCUUUCAAAAUCUCCUUGUCUUAAUCCGUAACUUAAAAAAAUAUUUAGCACCACAUAGUGUCUAAGGAUGAACAGUACAGAUGUUUCACACUAGUAUCUAUUUGUUCUAUUUACGUUUUGUAUCAUCAGGUUAACAAAACAGCUUAAAUUGUUUACCAAGAACAAAUUCCGCAUUGGAAUCUUUGAAGUCCGGGUGUCUUCCUUAGACAAGCUCUAUGGGAACCAUUAGGUCAUGGCCUGAAGCAGUUAUUGAGCACCUCGUGAAGGGGCAUAGCCAGCCCUAGGAGCACAGGUGGAAGCAAUUCACCUGUGUGACUAGGAGGGGCGGACCCUUACCUAAUAUAAGGGCUGGCAGCCACAAGAAAAGCAUCUCUAUCUAGAGAUUACCUCCUUAGUAGUGUUUGUUGAGCUCUGGUCCUUGGAAAGGGGUAAGUGUUUCCUUCUUUACCAUCAGUUUGUGACCUUUACCUUUCUUGGAUAAUUUAAAACUUAUCUAAAGCAGCUAUAUCUGCUGUUGCCUAUCCUUACAUAAGCAUAUGGGUGGUACCUUUUCAGAGAACUGCCAAAAUGAAGGCUGGGUAAAAUUUUCUGGCCUGUCCUAAUUCAUAAGUAAAGCUAAGACUCUCCCUAAUAUUCUUUUCCUUUAGCAAUGUUUCUUAUGUUCAUCACAAAGCAAAAUGUGGGAAUCAGUGAGAAAUGAAAAAAAAAAGAAGAACUUAAAUAUGAAUUCAUGAAAAUAAUAGCUCAUAAGAAGAACCUAAAAACUCUGAGUGAGGAUGGCUGGAGCAUGACAGAAACCAGUGAGAUGUGCACAGGAGGUCAGAAAUGCAAAGCAGGUAGCUUUUAUGUUAGCUUUGUAAAUGGAGGGUGGAAAUGGUGAUCACAGUUGUAGGAGGAAAGAAUGUUUUUUUUUUUUUUUCAUUUACUGUACUUUCUUCCUUCAAGAUAUAGAAAACAAGUGCUUAGGAGAAAGAAAAUGAAAUGUAGUUGUAACAAAAUGAUUAGGCAAGAAGGGUACUGAAUUCAGUGCAGGGAACUCCAUUCAAUUCUUUGAAGUUAUGCAGACGUCGGGUAACAGUGGUGAAUCAAACCCAAGCAGUGGUGGCUUUGUCAAUGUUGCAGUAUAACAUUUUUGUGUAUUUGGUACUGAUUCCAGAUGGCAAUUAGAUUUUGGAGCAGAGUAAGGGGGCUUCUGCUGGUCCAGCAGAAUCCACCUGAAGGAUUUUAGUGGGAACUUAAUUUUUUUUUUAAUGAACUAAGUAUGAAUUCUGGCAGCUAGAGCAACAUACCCAUAUUCUUUGCUAGUAUAAAUUGGCAAAGCUCUGAUUGAGCUAUAGCAACUCAUACCAUCUGAGAUUCUGACCAAUUAUAGUAGAUUUAUACAACAGCCACCUCAUUGUGCCAAAGACUUCAGUAUCUCAGAGGUGGUAAUACUGUUGGCAGACUCAUGGACAAGAAAAAUGAGGAAGUGAAACUGCAACUUGCAAUAAGGAAUUAUCCCAAAGGUCAGUUUUUGGAAGCAAAAGAAAUUCUUCCUUUUGGAAGGAGGUAUAAGGCAUGGGCUGUAAAAAGACCUCUUCAUCUGAACUACCUAAUUUGUUUUUGGUCUUUUUUCAAAGGCAAAAAUGCUAGUGUAAAAACUGGUAUCUUCUGUCUCUUUUGAUAUACCUUUCAUUAGUAGGAUAAGAAUGCUAUAUAUAUAGCUAUAGUAUAGUAGUGUAUUAAGCCAAUGUCUUGUGGUUCUUACCUUCUUGUUCUCCCUAGUAAGCUGUACACAGAUUUGCAGAAAGAGACUUCAAAUUUUAUUAUAUGUUUAGGGGAGAAACAAGGUUGGUGUUGGUUGUUUGUUGUUUUGGGUUUUGGUACUUGGAAGAGGAGUUGAAGAGGUGUACAGGACUUCCUGGUGUCACAGUCAUUCCUUUGAAUCUUCUGCCCAAAAAAAACCUGUCUCCUACUGGUAGUUUAGGUCUUCUGUAGCUUCUUUUGGAUAGUCAAAAAAAAAAAAAAACUUUAAAGAAGAUGAAGGUCCAGAUGGGGAGGAAAUUUUUCAAGAUGCGUGAGAUAAGAAAGCCAUUAUGAAAACAAUCAGCUUUACAAGGAGUGUCCUAAAAGUUGGCUUCUGCCAGGCCCAAUUGCACAAAUGUGAUGGUUUUACAGACAAUAUCAUUACUGAAACUACUAGAACCAGGUGAGUAGGUAAUGCAUAAAUGAAACAGCCUUGGGACCCUAUUGCCAUUCUGGGUGCCUAAGUUCUCAGUACUUGGGAAUCUACAGUUGCCUCUGCAAUGAGUCCUCCUCUACCAUGAGAAUGGCCAGGAAUGGUACAGGUCUUGAUGGCACAAAAAUGUUUGGUACUUCUGUCAUCCCUAAGCAUCUUUAGUACUUGUAAUACCAAAUACAGGUUACUCCUACUUGAAGGAUAUUUUCAAAUAGGUAUCUUAAUACAUUCAUGCUAAAACUGUACAGUUAUUUCACCUGAAAAACAGUGGACUGAGAAUUCAGAUCUAUUCUCUGGUACUGUGAAUCUGUGUUGCAGAGAGGUUUCUUAACUACUAGGCAAGAGGGUAUUCUGGGAUUCAAGUCUCACACCAUCAACAUUUUUCACUUUACCAGCAAAAACAUUAAUGCAGACAUGUAUUCAAAGUACCUGAGCUGUGAGAAAUUAUUUAAUAACUUCUGUUGCACAAGCAGCAAAAAAUAUUCCUAAACAAACAAAAUCUAGGCUGUGCCCUGAGAUGUGCUCUCAGUUUCACAGUAUCCUGGGGCAACAUGUUCUGCGGGUUCACUGUGUGCUGCACAUUCAUUAUUUAAGUAUAGCUGUGAUAUAUACGGUCCUUCUGUAAUAAGAUGAAAUGAGCAAAAGGAUCUUGAACCUUAUGCUCACAUUGACAGCCUCCUACGCCCUGACAAUGCAUGGUAAUUAAGACUGAAGGUUUAAGCUUUUUCAUGGACUUGCAUAAGCAUUUUCCACUUUGUUUUCUAUUCCUUUAUUUAUAACUGCAAAGAUUCUCCUCAUUUCUCUACUGCUGUUGAGUACUCAGCUGACACUUUCAUUGAACUAGCCAUAAGAGCUACUAGAUCUUCUUGAGCAGUAGUAGCUGAUCUAGAAAUCAGAACUAAGUGAGAGCAGUUAGGGUUCCUUCCCCCAUGCACAUAACUUAGUAUUUGUCUUUCAUAAGCAGUCUUAUGGUGUACCAUGACGAUCAACCCUACAAAUUCUCUGGCAGAACUUCUGUAUCUAACACUAGCGUGUUUGGAAAAGAAAGAUUUUAUUACUACUUUUUUAUGUCUGUGGUGUGUUGUUCCUUAUGAUCUUUUUGGCCUGCUGUAAUAUGAGUUACCAUUUGAAAUGCUGAAGUUUAUGAUCUUUUCUAUUUUCCUCAUUGUUCCACAUAAGCUCCGCUGUUUGAGGGAUUUCUUUUUACCCCAAUUAGCUGUCUUUACUGUAUCAUAUAGUCAUGCUGCCUUUUUUGUGUGGUCCUUUAAUUCUUGGUUUCUGAGGGAUUUCUUUUGGAUACAUAAUAUAUGAUUAUUCUGAGACUUUAAUAACAUGUACAUACAUUAUAUCUGCAAUUUUUAUUUUUUUGGGUUGCUUCUUUUAAAUUCCGUUUUAACAAGAUUUCUCAUUUUUAUGUACUUCCCCUUUCUGAAGUUACAAUUUUGGCUUCUCACUCCUAUAGGAAUGUAGAUUUUAAGUGCUUUAUGGUCAGUCUUGAAGAGUGAAUGUUCAUUUUGAAGCAGGUCCCAUGCAUCAUUUAGGUCUAAAUAAAAAAAAAAAAUUGCUUCUCCCCCUUAUGGAUUAGCCUGCCAUUUGUUCCAGGAAGCAGUCAUUUAUGGUAUCUUAAACUUUAGUCUUCUGCCACAGACCUAGCUGUGCAUUUAUCCUAUAAGUAUACCUGAAAUGUUUUUGAAGGGCUUUCUGAGGAAACAGUGUACAGUAAGUGUGGCUCAGUGAAGCCACAUGGAGAGUGCUGUAUGAAGUUUUCCCUUGUGCAUGUUCUGUCUUCAUCAGGCUGCUGCAGUAGCCAUAUUCCUUUCCAAAGACAUGGGCUUUCAAAACCCUUAUCACUUGAUUUCAGUAAAAUGGAAUAGUCCAGUAGCAAUAUGUGAAUUGCUGAAUUAACAACACUCGUAGGAGUCUUAGAAACCAAAGGUAAGCUCAGAUGUCUUGGCUCAAGCUGUUUGCUUGGUGUUAUCUAACUCUUUAACUCUGCUUUGGAACUUUCAGCUUCCUGUAAAUACAAUUAUAUAUGUGUAUAUAGAUUAUAAAAGUGUGCAUGUGCUUAUAGGUGUGUGGUGUGUGUGUACAUAUAUAUCUAUACGUGUGUGUGUGUAUAUAUAUAUGUAUAUAUAAUAUAAUUUCAACACAAACUCUUCCUCCUAGUAACUCCUUUCUCCACAGCUCAGCUCCUGGAGACCCUAGGAAGGGUUUUUGGUGGAUGGCACAGCCAUUGGCCAACCUGCUCAGCUACAGCUGGGAGGUGAGGGACCACUGGUUUUGACGUCAAGUUGGCUAACCUUUAUGGUGCUGUGACUCAGCCAAUUGAAAACCAUCAAUGGCUUUGCCUAAAUUAAAAAGUAAACCAGAUAUUUUCUAUAUGUGUAGCUGGUCAACACAUCUGUACAGAUAAGAGCUCUUUUUUUCCCAGAAAAAUUAUACACCCAAAUUGCAUUUGAGGACUGGCCCUUAGCCGACAAGAUGCCCAAGGACCAGUUAUUUUUUGGCAGGAGCUCCUCCCUACUCAGUCAAUAUGUAGGUUCACUGGCAGAAGCUAGCCUUGAAACAUGUAACUUGCAAGGACUGAACAUGAGCAUGCGGUAGUUCUCUACUUGCAGUUUACACAGAAGUCUAUUCACUGUCCUGGCCUGUAAGCCAAUGGUUGGUGUCUGUUAACAAAUAAUGCCUGAGCCUCUGUGGGCUGUUUCACAUGCUGUAUAUAUGCAAUCUGUGUAUGUAUGUACCUCAUGCACUGUUUCCUGAAUUAACCCACACUAUUCUCAGAUUUCCAGGACUUUGGAGGUGAGCCUAUGAAGUACUUGAGGUAAAGAGUUCCUUUACUACCUUAAAUGGAUGAAUGUUUUCCUAACAAACAUACUAAUCAAAAUCAAAAGAAUAGUGUGUUUUAUCUUCUCUUACACUAUUCUUAUACUAAAUUUAUGACUAUGAUAUUGUGGGAAAGAAUGUUUGUAUAACAUGAUAUAGAGCAGACAUCACACAAACUAGUCUAAGCAAAACCACAGUGAUAACGUAUUACUGUUAGCAUAAAUAAGUAGUGAUUAUUAAUUUUAGCCCUAAGCAGUCAAUAUGCAUGUUCUUUGAGUGUGCUUCACUGAGAGCAGUUUUUUGAUACACAAAAAUAUUAAAUUUGCGAAUUGUUUAGAAUUAUUGCUUAGAAACUACUGCCAAAUUGCAAUUAAGCAGUUGUAAGAACACGGCAUAUCCAACUGAGCACCUGCAAAACAACAACAAAAGAUGAAAGUUUUCUGUUUUGGAUAUGUUUGAAGCUGUAGGGGUACCAGUUCUGUAUAAACUCUCCUGUAUGAAAUGACUAUAAUGGAUAACGCACUGCCUGAACAGAGCUUUUCUAAAACUUGUAUACUCCUAAGAGUAGAGAAUCAGACCUGGGGAUCUAACUUUUUUUUUCUAUAGCAGCCCCAAUCUAACUAGUGGUAUAGAACUGUGAGCUCAUGGUUUCUUAGCAGUGACUUUGGAUUUCUGUGCUGAAAUAAGCCUUGAAACAGGCUGUGUAAUUUUUUUUUAAUGGGAAUUAUAGAUACUACAGGUCCAAGGGACAAUAGCUUCCAGCAUAGGCAUAAUUUGAAAACUGGUAGAUGAGUUUGUUUGGAAUUCAUAGUUUCAUUUCACUUGAUCUGCUCAUACAUACACACCAAAAUGUCUAGUGAAGUUUAGAGACUUAAACUGUACUAAAGAUAUAGAAAACUAUCUGAAAACUAUCAGAAUUAUAUAUAAUAAGCAGAGAAACAUUUUCUACUAUACCAUGUACCUUGGAACAAAGUAUUUAAAAAAACCAUAAAAAUAGAACUUCAGUGGGUUGCCAUGUAAAACAUAUUUAUCUGGUAUUCAUACUAUCACAUCCUAUUUAAAUGACUGUCAGGACUUAUAUAUGGGUGAAAUUAUUGGCAACUUGAUUGUUAUUUAACAACUGAGUGAGUCAUAACAAUCAAACUUUAUUAUUUUGUCACUUUAAAGCACAAAUCCUGCUUAUUACAAUUAAAAUGCAGAUAAUUUUCCUGAGGUAUGUGCCAACAUAUGGGUAUUAGUUACGUCCCAGUUGAUCCCUUCCGAGUUAGGAUUCCAUUAAGAGUGACACUUAGAUCUGAUGCUCAUGUUCACUUCCCAGUCACAGUCCUCAGUGUUCAGAUGAGAAUUAACACAGGCAGAAAAACUGACUAGCAAAAACAGUUGCCUGUGACUGUGCUUUACUUUCAGGUCAGCAUCCAACUCGCAGAUCUUCUUUGCUGCGUUUGUGCACUAAGAGGAAACUGGUCAUCAGGCUUAAAGUUUACCCUCACAGACAGAGGUCUGAACACCAGAAACAUGCAAGAAGCCAGUGGUAGGAGUCAGAAUGUGAGCACCCUGAAACACUGGAUCCUGCUCCUAGAUGGUCCACAAGUGAGCAGAGCAUCAGCACAUAUGGUUGGAGCACUUGCAUUUUCUUUAUGAAAACAGUGUGUUGUCCACUGACUUCUACACAUCCUUCAGUGGGAUUUUCAAGGAUUCUGAGGAGUGAGCAGGCUCCACAUCUCGCUAAUGUGAGCAGAAGAACAUGCCAGGAGACAUACAAGUGUCAUUCUUUGCACCAUCUUAACAUCUGCGGCACUCACUGAGCCAAGAGUUGUGUGCGUUGCAGCAGAAGACUGAAUUGUGGUCUGCCAGUGGUGCAGUAUCUCUGGCUUAGGCACACUCAGUUGCAAAAACUAGCAAUGUUCAAGCUGUUUGACUUUGGCAUAGCAUUAACAAAGAUAGAGAUGCCAAUAGCUGUAGAGAAAGGGGUGAGAAUUAUGAUUUAGGUCAGUAAAAUAAACACUGUUACCGUGGCAGGCUAAUCUCAUCCAAGAAACUCUUUACUUGUUAUUUCCCUGGCUUUUUGUAACUAUCAGGAAAAAAUGCCAGCAGUUCUGUCUACAGAGCUCACAGUCCACUUCUUUUCUGAAGUCACUCAGCAAAAGGAGAGAGAGGACAUUCCCUCACAUCAUUUGAAUAACUUUAUUUUUUCCAUCUGUAAUCUUUUCCUCUUCAGUAGAAAUGAGGGUGGUUCCAAUGCCUCCCUGAAGGUAUGGUAUCUUCUUGCGAAGCUCCCUGAGAACCAGGAACAAGGAGCUGUCACAGCAGCAAGGUUAGCAUCAGCACCAGAAUAGCAGAGCUGGGUCAUUAGAGAUCUGUGUAGAAAUCUGUAAUCCCUAAGGAGUACUGAGCAUCCUGAGCUUCUGAUUCACCCUUUGCAGGAUUAGUCUGAUAAUAUUUUUAAUGGGUAUCCAUUCUAUUGCAAUGUAUAGGAGUGCAGUGACCCUGAAAUGUCACCAUCUAACAUUACAUUAAUUCACUCCUAAUGAAACUAAAGAGGGCUUAGAGAGGUUUGUGACCAAAGGCUGUUCGCUAGAAUUGCACCUUUCAUUAACUGACUUUGGAAAGAUGAAAAAUGAACAUUCUGAAAUAUUUUGAUAUUGGAUACACUGACUUUUUUUUUGAGGGCAGUAAAUCCCUCUGGUUCAGACCCUAAACAGGGGCUUCUGAUGAUUAGGGUAUAAAAUGAACUGUGAAAUCCUAUAUGCCUAAUAUCCCUUCCUAAUGCAAAUCAAAUUUGCUACUCUGCCAAGUAGUUUGAUCCUGUAGAGCAUGGAAACAAGGUAGUAUGCAAGCAAGAUCUUACAUUCAAAAGAUGAAAUGUUGGCAGUUCUUCAGAAUGACCCUUUAAUGCUGGACACCCAUGUAUAAAGAUGAAUAAUACAAAAUCAAAGCUUACAAUAGUCUCAUUGUGCUCAAAGGGCAAAAGGAAAAUGUAUCAGUCAUCAGGAUGUGCCAAAGAGUAGGACUAAGAUGCACCUUUUAUUUUUGGACUGACUUUUAGAUACAAGUCUUGGCUAAAACUUGGACGUCCAAAUCUUGGAGUGAAGGAACUUAUCACAGAAAACUACCACCACAAUAUGCCAGGUAGUCUAUAACAGGAGCAGUCUCUAGGAGAUAAAAAAACAUCUUUUUUUUUUUUGGAGAGGUACUGAAGUUCUACUUAUGGGCAUUUACAUAACUCAUGUACUCCCUAUGCAUAGUUAGUGAGUGGAACCAUCUUCCUGCAGCUCUACUCUACUACUUAGUUAUCUACAGGGGAAAGAAAAAAAGAAAAAAGCUCAGUACAAUAUGAAGUUAUUACUGAAUGUGUUUCUUAGCAUGUAAAAAAUAUUGAAUUAACAUUAAAACCCUUUUACCCACUUUGUAAUAUUUGUAUGUAAAUUGUUACAAGUGCAUGAUAUGUUAAAUCCAUAAUUGUCAUAUUUUGCUGAAGACUGCGUAGAAUCAGUGAGGAUUUUCUUUUGUCUAAUAUUGGAGAGGUGGUUCAUGUUGGUGACAUGAAGAAAAUAUAAAAAAGCAGUUUAUCCAUGUAAACAUAUAGCCCUCAGACUCUUGCCAAGGACAGCAAGACCUAUUUUUAUCUGGUGAAUGAGUCCUGGUCCCAUAUGCUAAGAGUUGCUUUGGGAAGCUAUACGUUACAUAUCUAACUUCUCCUAAUUAAAUUUAAAUGCUACCUGAAAUUUGAUGCAAAGUAAACCAUAAUUUAGUGAUUAAAACUUUGGUAUACUGACUGGUUAUGACAACCAGAAAGGACUGCUAAGAGAUUAGGAAAAAGGGGGAGGGGAUAGAGUUUAAUCAGAACAAACACUAGCAAGAAACACAAUUUUAAUGGUUUUACAAAAUCAAUUUUCCAGUAAUAGUGAUAUGUUAUUUCAAAAUUAUUUUAAAGGAUGGGAGAAAGUUUAACCAUGUGACUUUAUCUUUUUCAGUGGUCUUUCUUAUUUGAUAUUGCAGGGAUUGGAUUUCACUGGGACACAUCCCAUUUCCACUGUAAUUUGUAAACUAAUGUUUCGUUUCUUCAGAAGGUAUGUUCCCAAACAAGUGCUUGCCAGCGUUAAGAAGUUGCCUCUUGUCCAAUUGUUUUCCAAUUGUUUGAUGGUAUUAAUGGGAGCAAAAAGAACAUUCAAGAUACCUUCUUGGUAUUUCUCUGUAUUUGGGGUAGUUGCUAAGAGAAUGCCCUCACAGCUGAGAGAAAAAUCUAUUUGCAUCCCAUUCUGAAUGGCAGGGUUGUAACUUGGAGAGGUGGCCCAGAGUUAGAAAAUACUCAUCAUGAUACUGCCCAUAUUCAUGAGCAGAGGUGAACAACUACUUUUUAAGCACACCUAAAAAUAAACCUUGCUUUCUGACAAAGACAGUCAUUGAUUGCUCCAUGAGCUGAAAAAGGUUUUUUGAGUGACUCCUUGCUUCAUUUCUACUCGGCUGUAAAUUGGAUUUGCUCGUUGAUUUUCUUUUCUUUUUUGUUGUUUAUUUAUUUUGUGGGGUUUUUUUGGUUGUUUAGUUUUGUAAAGGGGAAGUAUGGGAGAAAAUGUAUGUUUGGCCUGUAUGUCUCAGCUGAUGUGUAAUCUCCAUUAGCUGUUUUUGCUGGGAUGGAGCUUUGGCACAAAGGGCGUAACCUCAUGGACUCUGCUUAUGCCUAGUCAUUCCAGGACCAGUUGACUGCCAGUUUUCCAAAAGAAAUGAGGAAAUAGUUGUCUAUAAAUACAUUCCUCCUUUAUUUUGUGAGUUAUUUACAAACCUGACUUAUUUUCUUAGGUAUUUCUGCAAAAAUAUGAGACAACUCUUUGUCAGUAGGUUGUCUGUAAGUAAUCCACUGCUAGUGAUCCAAAAUUAAAAUUGACUAGGUAAGAGCAAUUCUCAGGAUAAUCUUUCUGAUAAAAAGUCCUUCAAGUUAGAAAUUUAGGAAACGAUCUCUGAUAAUAUCUUUCAAAAUUUGCUUAACAUAAGCAGAUUUUAUGAGCUGGCUUUUCUGAGAACACAAAUAGUUUGAACAGAAUCAUAGCAGAAGAGUUUAAAAUCAUGAGCAAGUAUUCAUAGAACACUUUUAUUUUUUCUUGGGGCAGUUGCCUGGUCUUGCUUUCCUAGGUGGUGGUUAACUGUCCAUCCUCACCAAGAAACAGUACUGGAAACCUGCUGAUUCUCUUUUCACAGUUCUUGGAUAUGCAAUUUCACACAUAGAAAAGAAAAAUUGUGUGAAAUGUUGUAACUGACAUUGUCAGUCAGCAGGAAACCUGAAAAGAGAUAUUGAGAUUGAGCUGUGAAAAGUGACAGUAGUGGAGCAGUACAUUUUUAUGUGAUAGAUAGAGCUGUAGGGCGCAGGUCAUUGCAGCUUGCAAGGGGCAAUCUUUGUGUUACUGAUAUCCCCAAGGCUGCAAAGGCUGAGUGCCAUGCUUGGAGAGCUGACGGGCAAUUUGCUAAUAUAGCAAUCUGAACACAAGAAGAACCAGCAUAAAUGGGAGGGGCAAAAAACCACACAGAGUAUAUGUAUUAUACAGAUGUAUUGUACCCUUUUUUGCUUAUUCAAGUAGCAUACAGUGGAUAUUUGAAAAAAAAAAAAAUGUUGUACACAAAUCUAGGAAGUCACAAAGAUUUUUAAAUUGGAAAGUUUUACUUCUGAAAACUAACACUGUCUUAUGUUAAAUCACUCUUGUUUGAUCAAUAGCACUGCACAAAUUCUACAUCUGCAUACUUUCUCAGGUUUUUUGCAUGCACUAGACAGUAACUGUUAAAAACUGAAAGGGCUAGAAAGUACCUUCUCCCAAGUACCUUCCCAUUUCAGGAGCAGCACUUAGAGAGCUUUUUGUUUCCUUUGUUGUUCUGUAGCUUUCUAAGUCUGAGGUAUGAGGUGUACCUUUCCUAAAUAUUUCUCUCUGAAUGUGUGACUCAAAGUUUGUAUAAAAAGAAAAUCAUAAUAAUGGUAACAGUGAAUAAAAAAUAAAAUCAUGUUCAGCUUUAAUGUGCAAUUCAAAUGAAAUCAUGUUGAUUUUGUUUGAUUUCUCUUUGCAUCUUUUCAUGUUUGAAAAGAUGUUCAUGUUUCACAUUUGAUAUAUGUCCCAUUUUGUCACCAUUAGAAUAAAAUAUUUUGAUUUUUUUCCUUUUCAAAUUAUUUUUCAUUUUGAAUAUUUUGAACUCUAGUAUGUAAUAGAUGAUUACAUUGCAAACACAUUAUGUUGCACUUAAAACUCGAGUCAGUGUGCAGUAUUCCUGCCAUUUUCCUUUACAAAGAAUUUAGAUAUUUUCUGAUUGGAAAUGAAGACAAAUUUGGAAACUUCAGGAACAGUUGGGGAAGGAAAAAAAAAAUUGUCUGUUUUACUGUCCAGACUUGUCUGGACCACUUCCACAGAUGGUGAUGCCAAGUGGUUCAUCAACCUCUUGCUCUGAAAGUAUUGUUUCUACACUGCACUUCAGUCUAUGACUUAUGUUAUUCCUGGCAUUGUGCACUUCAAUUUCUCCCAUGCUGAAUCUUUUAUAUUAGUAUAGAAUUAAGAUAAUAAGAAUAAUUGCUCCUUUUUAAUAACACUUCAUGUGUUUAUGAACAGUCAUACGCACAAGGAUUAUUUUCCAAAUCAUUGCUCAUUUUUGUUGUUCUCUUCUGAGUUCUCCAAUUAGUAUGUAUUUCUUUUUUUAUUGUGGUGUUCGUAACAGCAUGCAGUGCUCCAACUGAGGCUUAUCAAGUGAAGUAGAGCAGAAUAAUUACUUCAUUUCUUUUAUGCGUGACAUUCUUAUUAAUGUGACUCAAUACAGAGCAUUUGCCUUGUUUUGCCACAGUGUUGCAUUGUUGAUUCGUAUUCAAAUAAUUAGUCACUGUAAAUCCACAUGCUGCUCUGCUGUGUAACUCUGUGCUCUAGGAUGGGAUAUCCCACAGCUGUCAACAGGAGCACCCAGGAGCUGCAGUGAGGGUGUUGGACACUGUACAAAAGAGGGGCAGGUAAAUGACUUUUCUUAACCAGACUGCUAAGCUCCAUACUCAUUUGUGAUUACUGGUUUACAGUAUUAUAAGUAUAUUCCAGUUGUAAGUGAUUUCAGACUGCUGUCUCCAGUGUAUAAUACCUCAUCAUUUGUCAUGUUCCUUUUUCAAAAAUGAGGAUUCGCCCAUUCUUUCCACUUACUUAUUCUCCAGAAGAUGUAGUAACUUUUUUUAUAAUGAAAACUACUUGUUUUUCUAAAAAUCUUUCUGAUAACUUCAGUGAGAUCUGUACACUUGGGGUUGUUUUGCUAUUUAAAGAUACUCAGAAAUAGAUCAGACUUACUCCCCCCCCCCCCCCCCCCAAAAAAAAAAAAUUGUCUAAAAAUUGAAUCUGUGAGUAGCAUAUCAAAUUUGGAUGCUUAUACCUAAAGGAUCUCCAUUUCUUCCUGCCUUCUCUUCUGAGAAGAGUUGAAGUACUUACAGUGCUGUUUGAACCCAGGACAUAGAGCUUGGAAAAAAAAUGCAAGCCAUUGUGUCAUAGAAUUUUUAUCUGGCAAUAUUACAAGCCAGAAUUUUCAAGCUGAUUUGAAGAAAAACAAGGUGAAAAGUCUAUUGGGUCACACUUGAAAAUGUUAAGUAUUUUAGAGUCGUUUCAAAAUCCUGGAAAUUAAGUACUUCACAUCUACAAAGUUAACUGGUUUACUAAGUAUAAUGUCAUUUAUACAGUUUGCAAAGUCUGAAUACACAUACAAUAGUAAGAAAACUGUACCAAAGCCAUGUUAAAAGAAUUUGAUGUGUGGCAGAUUUGAGUUAGUAGGUACAAUGUGUUCUAUGAUUGGAAAGAAAAAUGGCAGACACACUUUCAAUGUGUUAGAAAGUAGAUGAAGACUCCUCUGAGACCAUGAAUCCCAAUGGAAACACUGCUGAUCUAAAGAUCAUAGAAAGAUAGAACCAGGUCACAUGCUGAUGCAAAUGAGCAUAGUUUUCUUGACAUUGGUGGACCUACAGUGAUUGAUUCCAGAUGAAGUGAUGAGAUGAUUCGGAUGUGCUAUGCCCUCCUGAAAGGCUGUUGAGAGAUGCUGAGAUCAGUGCUGGGAUUGCCUCACCAGAGGAAAAUACGCAGAGUAACAAUCUCUCCUUUAAAAAAAUGUGAGAAGGAAGAAAGUAAUAGUAUCUCUCCCAGUGUUGAUGGAAAAAGUAGGCUUUGGUGGAAAGAAAAAUAGUUCAGUAGUCAAGAUUUUGGAAGGAAGGCAGUAAAGACUUUUCCUAAGGAAAAGAGAGUACCAGAAAGCUUUAGAGGUUCCCUGUUCUCACCAUCUUCAGAACAGCUCUGUGUGUAUUUACCCUUACUCUUCUUUAGGUGGUCACUGAGGUUUGACUCAUUGAGUACUCCAGUGUGUUGGCCUGGGAGCAGGAGAAAGGAUGGAGGAUCUAAAGGCAUCCUGGUUACAGCAGCAGCAUGACUGAAUCAGCUUUAAUGACUGGCUGAAGCUAGCACUGUAUCUAUGCAUCCAGCGUGGGCUGCAACAAGAGUGACAAUUCAGGCAGAAGCUGGUUUGGGCUGAGUUUUAUGGUGUUGUGGCUAGCAAAGUAGCUAAGCUAGCUCACCAAUGCUCUCCCAAGUUAUUUUUUGUCUUAACAAUACAGGUAGGCCCAAGCAUGAUACCCUUCAGUGGUUCAAGAACUAUCUAAAAUAUUUAAACAUUUUGAGAUGUUCUUCUUCUGGAAGUGAAAGUAAAAAGAAGACUGGCUCUGGAAGCCUCGCAACAUUUGAAGUAAAUCACUCCUUAUGGCAGUAUCAAAAUCCAAAGAUGCAGGGAUUUUGAAGACUUAUCUAUGGAUUCAAUAAAAUCUAAAAGCAGAUGUUUAGUAACGUAUUUUUCCUAGAUCAUCAGUAGCAGUAUUUAGAGGCAUUGCAGAGCUUUGACCAUUGAAUUCCUCAUAGCGAGCUGCAACCUGCUGUAAGUACUGUUCUUGCAUUUUCCUAUCAAAAGAGAAAAUAUAAGACUAUUUUCAUUUCAUACAAGACUAUUAAUAUUGAAACCAUUGACUAGUAGACUACUCAAUUAAGGAUAUAUUAACUAGGAUACUUUAUCUCACUCUUAUUUUCAAGAGUCAACAAUCCAAGUACAAGGAGACUAAUGACUAAAAAUUCAGCCUCUUCUGAACAACUGAUGGAGUUCUGUUCCUGAGCUACCUCCUCCUCGAUUCAUUCAGCAUGAAUGGCAGAUUCCUAUAUCGUGUCAAGUUUCAGAUCACCAUAGAAACAAACUAGGAGGCAGUUUCAUUAAUCAUUUAGAGCACAAGAAGUCUAGGUCAGUCUGAUUGCAGCAUAUAGAGUAUCAUCCUAGCGCCACAUGGGACUCAGUUGAUUUGAAUUAAAAAAGAUUAAGCUGCCCCUAGGACGCUCAGCAUCAUCAGUUUAAGUUCUCAUGUAACAGUGGUCUCUGGAGCCACAUGGAUUAGGAGACUGAAGCUAUGCAUUUAUUUUUCAGGGCUCAGUGAAACAUUAGAUGAGUGCAGGUGUCUGAGGGGAAAAAAGGACAAAGAUCACAUAUAGUUUUUUAGACUUGUUGCUGUUCUUUUGAAACUGGAAACAAUAACUCAGUUUUAUUUCUUCAGUGACAGUUACCACUCUUUUUUGGCAAUGCAGUGGUACAUCUGUUACCCAAUGUUUACAACUUAGAUUUAUAACAAUUUCAUACUAGGCACCCUAAUUUUAGUGCAGAGCUGCAAGUUGGGCAUAGAACAGUUUACAUGAAUGCUGACUAUUUUUUUCAUGAUGGAGUAAAAAAUGCACAAAAUAAAUACUGGUGACACUUUAGUUUUACUUGAAUGAAGAUUUAUUGCUCCCAGGAAACUUACUUACAGGCAGCUACAAAUCAACUUGACUAUGAAAUAGCUGUAUAUGUACACCACAAAAUGAGCCCCCCCUCCCAAAGUACUCACCUUAUUUAUGGGUCUUUCCAGUACUUCAAAGACCUUUAGUAACUUAGUCCAGACUGGUUUAUUGCUUCAUAGAACUAAGACGUUUCAAGAGGAAAGUCGUAGGUUACAGUGUAUUAGGACUCUCUCUUGGGCGGCUGAGAAUCCCAUGAUGCUAUAUGAACUGUUGAUCUAAAGCUUAUUAUAGCCUCACUUCCUACAGUAUAAUUCUUAAAUCUUUUAAGUUAUACAGUGCUGUCUUUAAUCCUGAGCACUAAACCUUAAAGCAGAACUAGUUUUCUAAUAACCAGAGUACCAUCUGUGAGUAGAUAUAAUUAUGCUUUGUAAAAAUACAGUUCACUUGCUUGCACAGGUGGUCCACGACCUAUUUCAAAUUAUUUGAAUUUUCAAAAAAUGUUUUACAUAGAAAAAUCUGGGAGCGAAAUCCACUGUCCCAGUAUUCUUUGUGGAGGAAAAAAAUGUAUGUGGGUAGAUGUAUUCCACUUUACUCAAGAACCAGAACACCUCACCCUUUGUGUUUUUCCAAUUUGCCCUUUCUGUGCGAGUUAUCUGGGCUUUGAUAGUAUCAGUGUAUCAGUGGUGAAGUCUCCUGUUAUGUAACACAUCUAUGGACAUGGAAAUAUAGUAAAUACUUUUUUUUUUCCCCCCUGAUAUGUUGUCAUUUUUAAACGUGUUAUUCUAGGGAUUUCCGGGGAAGAAAUAACAUUAUGCUCUGGAAGUAUUUUUAGAUUUUUCUAGCACUGUGCAAACUGACUGAUUAUUCCCCUGGAAAGGGGAAAGUGAGUAUUAUCCCCACUUUGCACGAGCGGAAAUUGAUAUGGAGUCACACUAAGCAACUUGCCUCAGGCCAUGAAGGUAAACAGGGACCAACACUGUGGUGCUCCCAUUCUCCUGCCCCGUGCCCUGCCCAGGCCCUGCUAUUUACAGCUUGCUGUCAAAUGCCCUUAAGGAAAUGCAGAAUACAGGAAUUAAAGCAAACACAUAACAUUUUCUGCCUCCCAUCAGGGCUUUGUGUUAUCUAGUAUUUAUUGAGUGUCAGCAUUAUGCUGGUUGCUACACAAACAUAAAAGAAAGCGUGGUCCCUAUGCCAGAAUGUAUGUACGUUCUACUUUGUGUUGUCACCCAGAUGUUUCCAACCAGGCUGCCUAGCUUUGCUGUCCCUUUCUGGUGCAUGAGAGAGCUGAACUCACUAGUGCCAGGGGGGUAGCUGUGGCAGACAACCAGCAAUGGUGAGGGGGUCCAGGCUGUGCAUUUGCUGAGUUCCUGCAAACCACCUGGAUGAGUGACUGUCACCACACCCACAGGGAACUGGUCUUUGUAAAAAGAGCCAUGGGGCUGAAAAGCAGGGAAUGACUUCUUUGAGCUGAAUACAUGUCCUCACCCUCCUGGGGAGCAUGGGCAGACCUGUGAAGCCCCAUUUUUCUCCCAGGCUCCUUCCACCUGGAGGAGGAUGCAGUGAGUCUGCAAUGAUACACAAGUCCAUGUGGGAUCCCUGAUCUCUUCUGCUGCUCAAAGCCACAAGGGAGGAGAUAUCUUCUGCGUAGCCUGUUUCCAACAGGUGAUGUGCAUUUGGGCAGCCGUCAUGUCAUGCCUGGAAUGUGAUGAAAACAAGAGGUCCUGACUGCUCACUACUGAGGAGCUCCCAGAGCACUUCUCACAGGAGCAGGGGUGUUAACCCUGAUAUCCUGGUCAAAUUCCAACAAGGCUAAUUAUAUCCCACUUACCUAAAACUCUGCCAUGCUUUCCCUGCUUGCUGCAAGGUCUUGCUAUGUGAAACAGGCUCUCUUCUGAUCUUAUUAAACACUAUGGUCUUCCGCAUCAGAUGGGGAUAUAUUUAGGGGACUGCUAAAGUUAGGUCUCAGGUUGAUAUAUUUCUUGUCCAGCGCAGUAAUGCUGGACGUAAACCGACAUUGUUUGCAGAAAGAAGAGUCUGCAUUGCAAGUGUAGUUAAGAACAGCCACUUGCAAGCAAUGGUAAUGGCCAUAGUAACAGUAUCCAUUGAGUUCCUGUAUCCGGCCUUCUGCCUGAUGGAGAUUAAGAUCAGUGUGGGUGGGGGCUGAACACUGAACAAAAGUGUGGGGGAAGAGUGGCACAGGUGACUGUUCCCUGGCGGUGAGAUCAAGGUGCCCAAGGGGGAGGCAGAAGGGGCUGUGCUUCUUUCUGAGUCUGCUUCAAGUGCACUACACUAUAUUGAGGAUGCUUGUGACAGUGUAGCCAUUGAAGACCCUAUAGUAUGUGAAUUUCCUGAAGAUCUCAGGCCUAUGAAGUGGUACUAAGAGAUUAUUUUAGCUUUGCAAAGGUGCUGUGAUAUCAAGCAACGGGGAAAAAAAUAUGUGUUUAUAGUUUUGACUAAAGAGUAAAUUAUCAAAGAUGACAUUGAAGUUGCCAUAUUGCAUCUUAUUAUUUGUUUUUAAAGACUGUAGAUGUGGUGUGUAAUGCUGCUGAAAUGGCCACAUGAUAAUCCCAGUGAGGCUUUUUGCUUCUUGUUUAGAAAUAAAUAUUUCCAGGAGGAAAACGAAUCAUGUAAAUGCACCUCUUCCCCUUUAUCUACUGGAAUCUCAUCUAUCUCAUUAUCUUUUCGGUACAAGCUGCCACCAAAAUAUCUUCGAAAUGAACAGAUGUUACAGGUUUAGCUGGAAUUGCCCAAAGCAGAUGUAAGAGUGGAUACCAUUCUUACUGUUGUUUCUUAUCUCUUUGCCUGCAAAUCAAAGUUGCAUCUUUGUCUGCAAAGGUUCCUGUUGAUAUGUGAGUCAGCAAAGCCAUCUCCUUAUAGCUCACCUUGUAUGGCAGAGCCCUACAUUCACAGAUUUUCUUCUCCAUGAUACACAUGCAUGCGUAUGCACGCAAACACACACACACACACAUACACAUAUGUGUUUACACACAUAUUGUUAAGUUGUUGGUAGCACAGCGGUGCUGUUACCUAGUAGAAUUAUUUCAGAUUGCUUCAAAUUUUUAGUUGAAUAGAUGACAGUAGGAUAUGUAUUAGAUAAAUUAAAUGUGUUGGUGUUCACACAAGUAUAUGCACUUGAAGCUAUUUUUGUUUUUUGAAGACAGGUGCCUUUAGCACAACUAGCAACCUUCAAAAAUGUGAAUAAGGGCACAGAGUCUUAAAAGCCUCUUCCUGUCUACUGUGUCUCCCCAGACAGGCUGAGGCCACAUUAAUGGAAAAAGCACAAAGUGAACAAGAUGACCUAACAGAUGCUACCAGGAUGUACUGUACUUUUCCUAAGAUAAAUAAAGCCUGUCAUUUUCAGCAGUAUCAGCAAACCCCACAUAUUCUUUACAGUGUAAUAAAAUAUAGCAUUAUAGUGUUCCAAAUUGCUUUGUAAGUCCAUAUUCUUUUAACUAUUAUUGGUUCUCCUUAUUCUGUUUAACAUACUUAAAUAUUAAUUACAUGAGUAUGGCAUAAAAUAUCCAUCAAUCUAGCUCAUUUUCACUGUCUUAAAUGGGAGCUUAGAGUAAAAAAAAAAACAGCAUAUAAAGUAAACUCUGAACUAUUGCAAUUUAGAACCUCAGAUUUCAGACUUAUAAGCUGCUUUUAUUCAGCAGCAAAAUUACUCCAAAUGACUUUGAGUUUCUGUAAAAAAAAAGAAAAGAAAAAAAAAAAGAAAAAAACUGCAGCAACACUAAGGCACUCAAUUUCUGCAAGGACUCACAGAUUUAUCAUCUCAGAACUAUAAAAGAGCUGGGGAAAAGAAACUCUCCCUUCACUAAAGAUGAAUUUGUAUUUCUUUUUUUACUGUAGAUAGGUUUGUACAUCAGAUGAAUGAAUCUUAAAAUUUCUCUGAGGAGAGAAAGAUUUCUCUCAGGUUAACAGAUGCCACACCAGUUUGCUCAGACAUGUGCAGCACACAAAUUCUGGACAAAAUUUCUGACUAUUCUUGUUCCAGCAGAGCCAGUUUGCAGUUUCUCAAACCAAUCAGCAAAGCAGAAUUUUCCUACCCCUAGAGAUAGGUUUUGUUUUGAAAGAAAUCAUUCUUGCAAUGGAAGAUGGCUUUGCACCCAUCUUCCCUGCCUCUAUCUAGCCUUUCUGUCCUUGAAACCUUGUCCUUUCCACAGAAGCACAGAGCUAGUUGUAUAAACUGGCAGCUCAUAUCUAUCUCUGUGUCCACAUGGAAGUAGGUCAUUUUUUGCUUUUUCUUAAAGACUGUUGCUUUCAGCAGCAUUAUUUUUUUUACAAUCAGUAUAGUGCUGCCUCCAGCACCUUGUUUCUGGGAGUGACAAGCUGCCCUAAGCCUAAUAAAUGCUCAUAAUGAGUGGUUAUAGAAAAGUAGUUUCAAACAGGAGGUUCUUUCCAUAGCAAAGACUCAGCUCUGCAGCGUGUCCUGCACAGCCUGAGCUAUCCCAUAAUACUUGGACCAUCAUUAAGCCACUGAAUGUUACAAAGGACUGUUAGCCAGAGGAGCUCAUUGUUUCAUAUGAGUGCUUUUAUAUCAUUUUUUUUUUCCUGUCUAACAUAAUUGUGUUAUUAUUCUUAUGUAUUUCUAAUCCUAUUUGAAUCCUGUUCUGCUCUUGAUCAUUCCUGAUCUCACCUGGAAAAUGGGUAAUUGUCACUGUUUGUCUUACUAGCAAGAUAUUUAUCUAGGCUUUUCCAAUUAUCUGCUGAUAUUUCCCUUAUGUAAUGGGAAACAUGAAGUCAUCUGAUACCAAAGUUUGAGUAAAUCUAGUUCAUGUUGAAAUUGCCUCAAAUGGUACCAGUGACAAAAUCAAGAUCAUAGCAUGCAAUAUUCUGCUGAGAGUUUAAAACAGCAAUUUUGAAGAAGACAUCUACAUCCCAAGUUCUGGGUCAAGAAAUAGAGCUAUGUAUAUGCCAUUUGAAGCAUGAACCUCCACAGUGCAUUACGAUUCUUCCAUCUUGAUACAGGAUGCUACCUGAGCUGUUCUACUGUAUCAGAUGAAAAUCAAUAAGGAAUUGCAGAUCUAUAAAAGUAGACAUCUGAGUGGUAUAGAAGACUAUAACAUGGAACAUGGAUUCAUUUUCAGUUUUGUCAUGUUUCUCUUCUGUACUUCCAUAAUCAGAAAUGCAUUACUUCAACAGAAUGCUUAAAAAUUCAUACAUGUGACAUAAUGCUUCACUGAACUUUAAGAUGUCAGUUUGGAAAAAGAAAGAUGGAAAAUUUGGACUUCAUAUUUUAAACAGUUUCCUUACAAUAAACUUUUCUGGUCUGCUGAGUCUUGUCCCAAGUGGAAUUGGUGAGAUACAUCCUCAAGAGGACAGUUAGACUGUUGAAAACACUUGGAAAUAUCUCUUGGCUAUGUCUUAUUUAUAGAAGUCAACUGAGAGACAUGUGGUGUUCUGUCGUAUUGCUCUUCCAAGAGCCUCAUAUUUAUUAUUCUCAGUUGGCAAAAGUGUCCUUGUUUGAAGUUGUACAAGUUAAUCUCUGCCAGUUUAGCCCAAGAACACAAGAUCACUUUCAAACUGCUUUUCCAUAUUCCCGCUUUUAAAACAUCACAUUCAUCACGUGAUAUGUCUUCUUUUCUGUAGAUGUGUGACGUGCAAAGCAAUUUAAUGCAGCACAUAGCAUCUAUGACAUCAGAACCAUUCCCUGCCAGCACUUUAACAAGAUUCCAUUUUGCAUGUCCAGCUUCAGGACUUUCCGAGGGCUCUGUUGCUUUAAGAUACAGAAGACUGGUUCAGACCUUCACAAGAAGCUGUCAGCAGAGUUUGCAAUGUCCUGCAAGCCUUGAAUUGCAUGUAGGAUUUUGUAUUGGCUCAGUAUUACUUACAGUGUUUUGCUGUUUGUGAUUAGGUUUGCAGGAAGGCUGACUGCGGAGUUCUGAUCUGGAUUUCUCCAAAGUGUUUGGGUCUGUUCUGGGCUGCAGCAUGCUGUAGUCGGCAUUUGUUCAUAUAAACAUCUGUAAAACAUUUGGCAUUACUUGAAAAUAUUAGUCACAAUUGUAAAACUAAUAAAAAUCCUUCUUUCUUAUUUUAACUAUAAGGUGGUCAUAUAUGCUGGGCACUCGUCAUUGAUUUAGAUGUUAUCUCUCUGCUAGUAACAUUUUUGCUGUGCUUGCUCCAAAGGCUGCAUUUUUGAUCUGGGAGCAAUUCUCAGCUAAGAAAAUUCAUUCAACUGAAGCUCUGUGCCAGAACUUGGAGGACUUGCAGUUGAUUUACAUCCAGGUGCUCUAUACCAAUUUGUACCAAUUCUCAAACCUCUCUGACAAAAUCCACAGUAGAUUUUCAGCAUGCCCUAAUAAGCAGCACUUUCUUAUGCAAAGGGAGGCUCCUCAGAUGAUCACUCAGACUAUAAUAAAGAUGAGGACUUUGUACAGAUAUUUUAAACACUCUAAAUGAAAGGUAUUAGCAAAGUGUUGUGAAAUAAGGGCUUCACUAUAUGAAUUACUUACCUCUGAAAUGCAGUGUUAUUGUAGCAAAUUAACUAAAUCCAGAGGCACUUUCCCCUGCAGAUAUAUGCCUACAGUUGUGUCUAAAUGCAAUGCAGGAUGAAUAAAGUCCUGAGUGCCAUGUGGUAAAAAGCACUUUUCAUGUGGCAUAAGCACUUCAACCCAUGAAUUUGCAAUUAAAAUGAAUUUCAAGAGGCAUUUUACUGAGAUUACGUAAUGUAUUUGUUAAGUAUAUGCCAAAUAUUCACUGCUCAUUGGGCUUUCUGAGUCAGAAAAUUCUGUGUAUACUUUCCUUUACUAUGGACUAAAUAAGGAGCAACCACUUCUUAUCUGCUGCGGCUUGAAACAGAGUCAGAUAUUAUGAUUUGGCAACUUGUCAUGCUGAAACAACUCAGUCAUACAGCCACAGCCUGAGGGUGUAUACCGCCAUAACUGGAAUUUGCUGACAAAUUAUGAGAACACCCCUCAUAUGGACACCGCUCAUGCUUCAGACUAAAAUAUACAACACAAUUUAUAUAUGACAGCAUAUAUAUGACAUGCUUUUGCAUAGUCUUGCUACGUUUUCCAAAAUGUCUCAAUUUUCGGGUUACAGACUGUGACCCACUUCAAGUUCUUGCUGGGUAAAGCCAGAAGUUCUCUUUGUGUGUAUGUAAUCUUGUAAAAAUUGAUUCACAUUGGCCUGUUUCAACUUCAGAAGUCAGUCAGCAGGAAUGGCACCUCUAGUUCCCAGGAAGCAGAGAAGAGCUGAUGCUGUGUCCUUGAAAAUUUGCCCUGUAUGCCCAUCAGUGAUGGUGCGUGGCUGUGCUGAGCGCUUCAGUAACAGAGCUUUUUUCCCAAGUAUGGCUAUGAUGUCUUUGUUUAUAGAAUACUUUUCUAAACCAGGUUCAGCAUCAUGCCUACAAAAUUAGUAAUCACAUUUUUGGCAAGUAUUAGGUCAUACUAUCUGCAGAUUGUUCAUAGCUUGUUUAGGACUAAAUAAAAUUUGCUCUUUGUUCUGAGAUUAGUUUUCACUUCUACUUGGGCAGAGCUUCAGCUUUCUCAUUUAUCUGCCAAAUGUCACUUCACUGAGUCUAUCCUCCCACCCAAAAGAGGAAGCUCCUUCAAAGCUACAUUUGCUGGACUUGGAAAAUAACAUCUAAGGCUCCCUUAAAUAAUGACCAUAAAGAAUACUUCCGAGAUAGCAGACAUUAGUAUGAUGAUAUUAGUAUCAACCUCCGCUCUUUUGUUAUUCUUGUGUUUUGAAGAGCCUCAGGGAGGAUUGUAGGCACACCUUUUUCACUGGUGUCUUUUGUUGGCUGACCUGAAGGUAGAAGGUGCCCUAUCGGGCUAUAGUGAGUUUGUCUGGGGCUCUUCAUUCCAUCUGCUCUACUACUCUGCUAAGCGUUCCCAUUCCUCAAUAGAUGUGUACAAGCAGCACUCUGGGCUAGCUGUCACUCACUCGCUUUCUGAAUGCAGAGAAGAAAAGGAGCAAAUGAGGAGAGAACAGUGAGUGGGAAUCGUUUCCCUGCCUUCCUGCCCUUGUCAGGCACACAUUAAUUGUGACAGUGGUUUGAACAUCAAAGAAUGUAGACAUGAGAAGUAAAGAUGUGAGCCGACAGAAAGAGAGAAAGAGGAAAGAAUAGGUGUGGUGUUACAAGAGGAGGUGUGUGGUAGAUCUAAGGGCUUAACUUCCAUGAGGUAAUUAUAGAAGCAUAAACAAUAAAUCAGACUUUAUCUGGCAAACCUUUGACCAUACAAAAAAAGGAAGAUACAUCAGUGGGAUUAUAGGAUCUAGCUCUGUAAGGCAUGGGUUAUAGCCAUGCAGUUUUGGGCCCUCGGUUUCUCUUUGAGCAGCUUGAUAGCAAGGCAUGCAUCAAAACUGUUACUGAAAACAUGCUGUGGGUUUCUUGUAUCUUCAGCUGAAGGAGAAAGCUGUUACUGAUUACUGGCUACGCUGGUUGUAUUUCAGGGCUGGUCUUGUGUGGUGGUUUUCUUUUCAGCUCUGAAGUCAGUUAGCUGUGUGAUAACCUCCUUCUUCCCCACCAGGGAAGAUCUCCAAGAGUCCACUUCUGUGACAGAUCUGUGCAGUGGAAAGAACUAAGGUGGGAACAAAGGCUCUCCUUCUUUCCUUUUCCGCACCCCUAUCCCCUUCUCCUCCAUUUCUGCAGCACCAGAAUGAAAAUCAGGCUCCUUCACCCCUUCAUGCAUACUGCAAAAUCUGUAUCACCAUUGUCUAAUCAACAAAAUGAUUUGUAAAGAUUUCACUUUACCUUUGAUCUUGCAAAAUGAGAGUAGCUUUAAGAAAAGCCAGAUACUUUAAAGAUCACCACAUGGUUUUAAUAGCAUUUUCUACUUUGUUUCAUAACUUGAAUGAACAAGAUAUGAACAGUAUUCCUAUUGUCACCACAUUUCACUGUGUUAUCACGUUUGCUAAUAUUUCCUAGUUAAAAAAAAUUUGGCAGCUAUUAUGAAGCUGAUGUAACUUAAUAUCUGCUUCUAGCUCCAUCAGUAGAGCCUGUUCCAAAGCUUACUGAAGCUGCUAGAAACUUGCUCUCUGGCUUCAGUCAGUUUGAGAUCUGAAGUACAGAAAGGGAAAUGACAUGCUCGGAAGGUUUCCCACCUUUCAGAUCCCAUUUCUUUUCCCUCUUCAGCUAUGCAAAAGCUCUCACCACAUUGCAGAGCACAGUGUGGUUUGGAUGCUGUAUGCACAUAUGUGAACAUGAUGGGUUUAUGGGUGUAUUUUUGCUGACAAACUGAAAUCAUGGGAGAAAGAGAGAGGAAGUACUUUGUUUCAGAUUUGAAGUUACAUUUUUGAAUUGUAAAUAGAGUUUCUGAGAAGUUAAACAAAAAUAAAGAUGUUUUCAUUUCUUUGCCACUGAAAAUGCACAGAAUAAAAAUUGAGAGGAGGAGUGGAGAAAGAUGACAUCCUGGACUCUUCCGUUUUGUUUUCUCCCCAUUACUGCCAUGCUCCUUCACUUGCAUGACAGGGGUGAGUCUAAACUAGUGCACAGAUUGCUCUUCCACUUCAUAGCCAGGCAGCUGCUUCCUGCCCUGAUAACUAAUUUCAUUUAUUUCCUUUUCAGAAGACGGCCUGCCCUGGGUGGCAAUUACAGUUGGUUAAUUUUGGCACAAUGUGAAUAAAAGCAGAUUGAUAUAAAUCACUGAACAGUGUAGCUUAUGAAAAUGCAAGUUAAAGUAGCGCCCCAACCACAGUGCUGUCAUGAGAGAAGCUGAAAGCCAGAUGUUGGUCUAAUCAUGAUAGAAAUAAUCUAGUAGCAGACUUUAUCCUCUGGAGCUUGAAAGCCUUACCUAAUGGUUUUUGUCAGCCAGAUACCUCAGUGUUGCAAUACAUAUUGAAUGUUUUAGAGGAUCAGAAGUUGGUUUGUUUUCUUGGCUUAUAGAUGGAUAUUCUGGGAGUAGCUUUGUGUACACGAUCUGCGGGAGCCCCAGGUGAAAAGCACCUAGUAGGGGAUAAGAGACAUUCUGAGUAUCUAAGGUGUCCAAGUGUCUUGGACACUCAAAAUCUUACCUUAUUUUAAAGUAACCUAUGUGUGGUUGUGUCAUUAGAAUAAUGAACAAAUAAUGAGUGCUUCUGGAAUCACCAGAGGUAGAUAUAUGUGUGUACACUGAGUGUAAUUAAAACUGCAAACAGAUCCUUCCUGCAUCUCACUGCAUUUAUCAAGGAAAAACUACAUUAAUUGAAAAUAGUGCCUGUAAGUUAAAGUCUUUAUUUUUGGAUCAGCAGAGAUGUGAUAGGAUGAGUUCACCUUAAGUUAAAUGUGAAUGCCCCGAUUACAAGCUUGUUUCAGGCUCUGUAUGGCUUAAAAUGUGAGCCUGUUCUGGCUACUGUGCACCCAUAGGUGAACUCUGCAGGCUGAAGAAUAAGUGUGGGGGCUCCUGAGCCAGCAUCCUGCCCAACACUUUCAUCUGGCAUGCUGUCAUCUCCUCUGAGAGGCCCUGCAUGAUAUUGAGGUGACACAAGGUGCAGCUAGGGAGAGAUGAAGCUAUGGUCCACAAUGACACAGUUCAUAUGUACUAGCAGACACCAUGUGCUACUGCUAUCAGUUUUCAUACCAGAUUAUUCACUGGGCUCUGCAAUAAGAAAAUGAUAGAAAAGCCAUUAAUUUGUCUGGUGAUUAAGCUGGACAAGGAAACCCUAUAAAGACCAACAUCUGCUUUCUAAAAUAGAAUAGUCCGGAUGGAAGGGACCUACUAAGGUCAUCAAGUCCAGCUACUGUGGAUGGCAUAAAAACAUUUGGUUCAGGGACAAUUUAUGCCCUCCAAAAAUGUCUUUUUUCUAGGGACAAACCCUCCACUUCUUUCAAAGGUAUUUUGCACCUGGUAUGUGCAGUCUACAUUUUAUAACAUUUUUAACAAAAGAAAAAUGUAAGAAGAGGGAACUGCUUCUUUGUUUUGCUUGAGACUUGUGCCAGAACAAUCUCCAAGGAAUUGACAGUGCCCUGAUCAGAUAGAAAUAAAUUAUGGGGACACUAUUUUAUAUCCUUAUGUGUCUCUGUGCAAAUGCAUUUGGAGAUGGUGAUGUGAAUGUGAAAAAAUAACAUUUGUGGAGAUAUGGAAAUGAAGAGGGAGGAAAAAAGAGGAAAAGAGAAGGGGAGCAAGCUGCUGAGAGCACAGCCACUCGGCCAGCUACCUGCAUCAGACAGUGACCAAAGCCUCUGCCCAAGACAGUCUUUGUAUUCUAUGAUAUGAAUUUUCUUCAACAGUAGAGCACAAUUUUCCUGAACUCUCUUUUUCUUUUCCUACCAAAAAGGAUGUUUUGGAGAAUCUUUGCUGACUGUCACAUUGCAAUUACUGCAGUGCGGAUGGCAAAGUUUGUGGGAAGGAGCAAUACUGAAGAAGAGUUAAAAAUUAAGGCAACUUGUUUGGGUUUUUCGUUGUUGUUUUUAUAUAUAACAUAUGCAGAUCUGUUGAGGUUUUUUUUUUUCUUCAUUUUAAGAAAAGCUUCAAAAUUAGGAUAGAAAAAUGAUUUUUUUCUCAUUCCCAGUCUUUUGUUUUAAGCAUCUGUGCUUUGUUUUAAUCAUGGAUGUGCAUGAUCAAGAAAUUACACUGAGAUCUGCUCCCAUUCCAUGGAACACUCAGAGCAAAACCUCUAUGGUUCUUCAGAGUAACCUUCUCUUGCACUGGGCUUCACAUCAUAUACUACUUAAAUCUGAGCACACACACUUUCAGAGUCAAGGCUUUACAAGGUCUGGACUGUUUCUUUCUUUGAUGAAUAGUAUAUGGUGCCAAAAUUUGCCAGAUCCUGCCUGUACAAAACAGGGGCUUAGAAUUAACAUUGUAUGUGUUUAAUGGCAGAAAAAAAAACAGACUUGGUCUUCUGGUGGAAGGGAGUCUUAUGCACAACAGUAUCUCUGGAUUGUAUUUGUUGCUUUCACAGACAUAAUGACUUUUCCAUGUGUUUGCUGCUGCUGAAAUUGCCAUUAAAAGAACUACGUUGAUGGUAUCAAAUUCUUGUACUUUUGUGGUAACCUUGUUCAAACAAAGCAAGAAACUUCACGCUUUUUCAGAAGCUGUACCCUUGACACAAAGAGAUACGGAAAAAUAGAGAAAGGUGAUGAGCUAUUCUCAAAUCGAGAAUAUCUAAGCCAGUAACUUAAUGCUGGCUUAACACUGUUUUGUUUGUCCUUAUUCCCCUGUAAUCAGAGAAGACUGCAGAUUCCUAGAAAUCCAUCAGUAUGGCUCAUUGCUGGUAUGGCACAGUGGUGGCACUAUGCAAGAUUUCCAACAGUGCCAACCAUGUGUUGUGUGUCUGUUCAGCAGAAGCACUGGUGGGAUAGUAAAAUGCUUGCUUGAGUCAAGAUAAUGUCAGUUGCUUAUGCUCCUUAAAAAUCUACUGGUGCUAAGAAAAUGUUGCUCUAAUCAUCUGAACGUUGCUGCUUUGAAAAAGUAUGAAUAUGAAAUCCCACAUAUGUGAUAAUGAUUUUGAGAAAGCAAUGAUCACUGCAACUAAAGCAUUUGCAUCUGUUAAAAGCACAGCUUGCUCUUUCACUUGUGUCAAAGCUGCUGGCACAGAAUUCAAAGUACUGGAUUGGCAACUCUAUCAGGAAGCAAGUGCAGCACAAAGCCAUAAUAGCUGUCUUGGUUUGCUUUUGUUAUCUAAAAAAUUUCAAGUGCUUUGGAUAACAUAAGGUGCCAUAUAACUAUGGAAGUUGUUGGGCAGCAGCUUGACAGCCAUAUGCCUAUAUCUAUAAUGUAUGCACAGCCUCAUCUUUAACUACAUGUUUUCCUUUAGCAGCUGUGGCAACAGUGGUGAGUUCAAACAAUUCCCACACAGUGAAAAUGCAGCUGGAGGCAAUGGCUUCUCUGCUGAGGGCACAGAAGACACAAGCACUCCGGUCACUUAAAGACUUUCAGAGGGGCCAAAGCUACCUCAGCGCUUACUGUCUGAUCUAUGCCAACUGUGUUGCAAAGAUUCCCAUCCUAACAUUAACCAGCUCACUGUGAAGUCAUGCACAGUGCAGAAAGGCAGGGAUAUUGGAGGUCAGUUCAGCACCGUGGUGAAGCAGCACUCCUGCUCCUGGUGCUGGUGCUAAUGCAUGUGGGUCACCAGGGCUAUCUCUGCACUGCUGCCAGGGUUAAGCCAGUUCAUGGUUCUCUGCACCUGUGGAGUAAACCUUUUUUUUUUUCUGAAAACUCCUUUUUUGCCUUUCUCAGACAGUGAGCAUGGAAGAACUGAGACAGUAUGGGAGCAGCUGCAAAGGGUAUCCAAGCUCAGCUAGGAGAAGGUAUGUGUGGCUGGCCAUGAGGGUGAAGGAAAUUCAGGCAACUUUCUUUUGGAAAGGACAAGCAAAAUCUCUCCAUGUCAGAACUUUAGAGGUUUAUUUUGUAUGUUGCCUUGUGUUUCAUGUAAUAAAAUCCAGACCACAUACAGCACCAAAUCCUGCAGUUGUCAUUGUCUUAGAAGUCCUAUUCAAAGGUUAACUAACCACUAGGUGUUCCCCUGACAAAGAUAAAAUCUUUGUGUUCCAAACUUUCUGAAGAGUCUUUCAUUACAAUAAACAUCUCCUGCCCAGUAGCUGAGGCUUGUUGAGUAUAAAGAGCCUUUGUCAGGGAUGGAGCACAGCAGAGCUUCCUGAGGAUUUCUUUCCACUCUAAAACUGAGGUGGGUCUGUCCUCCCCACUCAUUUUAAUUUGUUCAUUUUUUCCUAGGAAACAAGUAUUGCUCUGGUUUUCAUUUUCCACAGGCUGCUUGAGUAUCUUGGAGUCUGGAGCUGAGGGGAAAGGAAAGGUUGUUAUCCUUAGUGGUGUUGCCUUUUAUCAUCAAUACUGGCUGCUAGUAUAGAAGAGUAGUAUACCAGCCAAGGGUAUAGCAGUCACUGCUACACAUGUAGACCAUGAGGACUGCUCAGCAACAGAGGCUGUGCAGGACUUGCGAUGUGUUCCCCACUUCUCUCUGAAAUACUUCAUAGUACAUCUGGAAUACAUGUUUUCACUUUUAAAAUCUGUCCUUUUACAAAUAAAAUAGUGUGGAAUCUGCCCAGAUAAUUCUCAUUGUAGCAGCACUAGUAUUGCUUCAUUGUUAAUCUCUUUCCAGCUGUGGCAAUUGUUACUCCUCUCCUCUCCUCUCCUCUCCUCUCCUCUCCUCUCCUCUCCUCUCCUCUCCUCUCCUCUCC
ensembl:lncRNA